rnacentral:lncRNA from 1 species
AUGCUCUCUCUCUCUCCCUUUUCUUCUGUGCCAUCUCACCUCCCUAUUUUCAAAGGUUCAAGAUGUAUUUUUCUAUAUGUGAGUUUUUUUCUCUCUCUCUCUCUUCCACUUCUUGUUUUCCUAGGCCAAAAUGCACUUCAACAUUCUCCUUUUUCAAAGCUUUCUCCCCCCCCCCUUCCUUCCCCUGUGAAGGGGACUCCCAGCACCCCUAUUUCUCCUUAUAAACAUACAGUCAAAAUCCUGGUUUACUUUUAUAGUAAAGGCACUCUUUCACUCUCCACAGUUCCCCAACAAUCUCCUUUCUUCCUUUCGGGUCCUUCUCCCUCCCUUUCCCUGAGUGCAUGCGUGUGAAUGUUUUAAAAAUCCCUCUAACUGCCUUUAAAUAUGAGGAGGGCAUUAGAGUCCAGGGGACCUUCCAGGCACAGCUGAAGAGAUCCAGAGGACCGGACCCAACCACCUGACUGAGGACAUCAGACCAGACUGCAAGACCCAUAAUCCAUACCUGCCACCAUGAACAGUUCUAAGACCUGGGUAGGGGCUCUCGGAGUGCGCUGUGGAUUUCAUGCAGCAGCUAGAACCCAGAGGCCAUUGGAGAUGGUCCUGUGAGGGUAAGCCCGGACCCCCAGUCACCCAGAAGAGACAGCCCCACCUGUGGCUGAUCUGAGACCCCUACGGGGGAAGCAGCCCCAUCUGCCUGGCUCAGGGGCUAGAGACUAAGACACUGCUGAAAGGAUUCUUGCACAUGGCAGGCUUUUAUGGCCAGACCACCGUAUGGUGCCCUCCAGCUGGCCUGAUCUGCCCUGGCAAAGGGCUACUGAGUGCAGGUCUGCCUUUGACGCUGCCAAGGAGGCCCUCAUGACAUCACCAGGGGACAGAAUUGGCCGCCAUGGCAGAAGAUGUCCCAGAAGAAGUGAACAGGAUUCUACCAGUGACCACCAUGAGGGAAGGAUGUUCCGCCCUCACCAGAGCUGUGCCAAAGAAGGACCCCAGGACUGCUGGAGCCCUCACAAGGUAUGACUUCCCUGACUAACCCCACCACGGGAGGGAGGGGGGGCUUAUAAUCUGUCCUUAGUUUCCCUAGGCACUCUCUCCUUUCCGUCUCCUCUGUUGGAGUGCUGGACCUGCCUGCAGUCACCAGGAGGCGCCGUGCUGUGAGGUGCAGAAGCUGUGCCCAGUUGCCCCCAGCUGCCAACUACAAAGGGGGGCCCAAGCUGCAGCCAAGAAAAGGCAGCCAAAUGGGAGUACUGCAUCACAGCCUCCAUCAUCCCCAGCCCUCACCACCUCCACCUUCAUGCUCCAUUUCCCAUGACUCCAGACCAAGGGACAUCUGCUUCAACACCAUGGGAUCACCCACCACUGACUGAGCCUCAGCUUUCACCUCUUCAAGCUCCUGCCCUCCAACAAAAGUCACAAUCUGAUCUACCAAGGCAGAGGCCCUGCAUGCAGUGAAAUGUCGGGGCUUUGGGAAAUGUUCAUAGCCAUUUCCAAGCCCCGAAGGGGGGAAAAUGUGAUCGAGGUGACCCCCCCCCCAGGACUUUGUAAAAGAUAGUUCAAAAAUCAAGACUUUAUGUUCUAUAUUUCAUAAUUUAUAGUAGAAGGUGAUUGAGAAUUUUUACUGGAGUUUACUGUGGAUUAUCCCUGCACUCUGAGGCAAGAGAUAACAACUUCAUGGAUUGUAAAAUCAUGCUGCUAAAACUCCACUUUUAUGAAUUUCCAUAUUGGGUUCCCCAGAUGUUAUGAACUUCGUUCUUAUCAAAUGUUUUCAAUUGUUUAUAUCAUUCAUGAUUCCCCUUUAUGCAAUGUAACUCACCUUUAUGGAUUCUCCCUUAUUUCCAUGAAAUCUAUCUAUCUGCCUAUAUGUAUUUGUACUCUUUGGGAUCCCUGGAAAAUAUGUAUUUUUCCCAGCAGGGUUUAUAUCCCAACUUUAUUUUAUUUUUCAUUUUAUUUCAUAUAAAUGUCAAGUCAUGAAAUCAAAUAGGAAAUAUUUUGAACUCAACCUGAACCCCAGAACCUAUCCCAUUUCCUAUGACCCAGGCUUCCCUUCCCAAAAACAAAAGGAUAAUCUGCCACCGCUAAACCCAAUCAAAUUCAGAUUGCAUGGACAAUAUAGGGCUUGAGUCGCCGAAUUCGGAGUAUUGACCUAAAGGUGAUUCGCCCCCAAGGCAAACAUUGUCAUAUCUCAUCCAAAGGAAAAUCCAGGACACCUCAGGAAGGCGCCCUGCAGAGCCUGUCAAUUAUGGCUCAUCACCACCCAUCUCUACUUCCACCUCUGACACCCCAAGGCAUAUCUAAAAUCUGUAUACGUGACAGAAACCCGGACAUCCUUGAUUGCGGCCAUUAAUCCCUUUAGAAAUCGGCCUAGCAGGAAUUAAUCCGAUCUUUCCUGCCCUGUCACUUCAUUGUUUCAAUAACUCCCGCCUUCUCCUUCCUGAUUGGCUCGAGUAGAGACAAAAAGCAGCUCCCUAUUGGGCCAACAGAGCAAGGCGGGAAACGAAAGCCCGCCUCGUUCAACCUUCUAGCCUAUCAGCGAUCAGAUGGGCGGGGGAGCGGGGCGGGAAAUUCAAAGGGCUGUCAGACUGAAACUUUGUAUAAAUAUGGCUUUAUUUUGAUUAUGUGGUACCCUAGUAGACUGAAUGAUCACUACUAGAGUCCUCUGCAGCUGAAUUGCUCAAUAAAGACUCCUUGGCGGAAUUUUCCUUCAACUUUGGCGGACCUUCUUCAUUUCGGCUUCAGGUUGUAUUGCGGCUCAUAUUUUCCUAUUGGCUCCGCCAAGGUCCGUUCUCUCAGGACCGGGUCGGGUCUCUCCUUAAGGGCCCGAUCCCCUAAAACGCGGUCGACAACACUUUUGGGACUGAAUGCAAAUUCACUAAGUCUAAAGCUUGAAAAUACAAUAGGGGAAAGGUGGGCAAACAGGCAGUGUGGGAAAGAACUAAGUAAGACUGUUGUAAAAUCCAAAUGUAAUUACUUUUGUAUUUCUUGUAUUUCUUUUUUUUUACAUGGAGGUGUGGAGAAGUCAUAGUUAUUGUGUUUAAUUUUUGUCUGUUGGAGUGUGUAUUUAUGUUUUAGUUAACAGUAGCCAUCUUGAAACAUGAGUAAAGCAGCGGACAUUUUGUUUCAUUCCACAGUGGUUGGGUUGCCAUGGAGACGAAGCUGGUUAGCUCAUGAGAGAGAGAAGUGGGCGGAGCCAAGGAAAGGAGAGCGGUUUUUAAAAAAAGAAGGGAAGCCAGUUUAGUUGAGAGUUGGGAGUUGAGAGGGGAGAGUGUGUGGGAGAGAAGGAGAGGGGGUGUGUGUGCAUGGCUGGAGGCUUGUUCAGUCAGGAAGUGCUGAAAAGAUAGGCCUGGCACAGAAACCUUUAGUCAGAGCAGACUAAAGGGAAUCUAGUAAGUUCUCUAGUGGAGAAAAGUCUAGUAAUCUGGGAUUUGAUCGGUUUUGGAUCAAAUUAUUAGUUUUAUUGUAGUGGGGACAUUGUCCACGAAGGAACGCGACUGAGGUUAGGGUUCGCUACAAUUUGGUAACAUCAGUAAGAGAGUGAAAGAAGAUUUACACCAAAGUCUACUGUUAGGUAGUUAUAGAGUUAUUAAACCACUUGUAUAUUUAAAGCUAUAUAAGUUAAUCAACCAAACCCGCAACUAAGCCUUGUACAAAAUAAAUUUGUUGUUAUUUGUUAACAUCUGUCUCAUCUCAUUCCAUUUACGUCUGUGGAGCCAAGUUUCAUCAGUAUUAAUUCAAAAACCUCACGUUGGUGGCAGUUAAUUGAAUAAAUCACCUAAUUGGGGGAAGAAUAACAGACAUAUUUACCUCAGAAAGGGAACCACAACAUCUAAAUAAAUCCCUAAAUACAAAAACAGAGGCUGGGAUCUUGAAACAUAGAUCACCCCCUGUAACCCUUCCCCUCAUAUAAAGGUGAUAUUUAUAAUCUAGAGGGAAUAAAAGAUCAAAAUUCCCCUCAGCAGUGGAAAUAGCAUUUACCAUUUCCCUGCCUCACCUCAUACCAUUCCAUCGCAAUCACACACACAGUAUAUAAUUGGUGGGAUCUGAAAGGAUUCCCUCCUGUCUGACAUCUUUUCAGAGGAAAGAAAGAGUUCAAAUUAAAAUGUGAUAUCUUGAAAAGUGUGUUUUAAAACUACUCACCUGGCACCACACAGAAUUAUCAAGAGUCGAUAAUACAAAGUAAAACUAGAUUUUUUUAGUGUUUCCACUUGGUUUUCAGAUAAGUCUUUUCAGAUUGUGCAGCAUUUCACUGCUGUGUUUCCAACAAUAUACGUGAAGUUUGAAAAAUUCUGGCUGUUUGUGGAAGCAUCCAGCGCAUUGCUACUUUUCUUUCUAAAGAUUCCAGGAGGCCAAAAUGUCUCAAAUUUCCUCUGAUCUGGGAAUGUUGCUGCCCUAUAUAUAUUUAUGGAAACAAGUAUCAUGGACCUUAUUUCUUUAUUAUAAUUCCUUAAUACACACAUCCCAAACAAAUCCCCCUAUAAUCAGGGAAGGAAGGAAGGAAGGAAGGAAGGAAGGAAGGAAGGAAGGAAGGAAGGAAGGAAGGAAGGAAGGAAGGAAGGAAGGAAGGCUGGCUUCUGCUGAAAUGAAUUCUCUUCUAUUCAUGGUGUUGGUUUAUAACAUGAAAUUUUAACUAACCUUGUUCCUUGAGAUGUGGUGUAGUUUUAUUCAUAUUUAUUCAUAUUUCUCUGUUGAGUACGUGUGCUCCAGAUUACAGCUUUUGCUUUCCUGUUCUCCUUCUCUGUCCUUCCUCUGGGGUUCAUAAAACUAUAUAUUUACACAAUAGGCUGUUUGCCAUGGAGACACUGCCCUCCUCUCCAACAUAUGGCAGAAACCAACUCUGUGGCAGUGCUAUGUUUUGACAUUUUCAGAGCUUUCUGUGACAUUAUGCAUAUUAUCUGAUUUUCCAGGUUAUAGCCUGUCAAAUGUGAUGGACAGCAUAAUUAAAAAUUCAAAGGCAGAUAUAAACUGACAGGACUGCUUUGGUCUCUGUCUCGCUUCACUCUCUCAUGUAUAUUAAAAUGGUUAUCUUGCAACAUCAUAUGCAGGCACUAACC